GGUACUUUGUCUUAACUAGAAUUUUUUAUUUGUAAACCUAAAAUUUAGAUCUUCAUUCCAUUGUAUAACUUUUCUUUGCUGUAUUUAAAAUUUUAGUAAUGCAACAAAGUUUGCUUGUGCAGCAGUCAUUAACUUGAGUCAUCGAGUGACUUGAGAUCCCUUGACUUAACCUAUUUGCCACAAACAAUCAAUGGAAAGGCUAGAUCUGGACCUAAUUAGACACUUGAUUUUAAAUCUUCUUUUGUCUGGUUUCUGCAAUCUAAAGUUUCCAUAACACUACA
rnacentral:lncRNA from 1 species